rnacentral:lncRNA from 1 species
CUCUGGAGAAAUCUGUAUGAUAGAAUAGUGAAGGUAACUGGCCUGAACUACAGCUCUUGAGCCAUCUGGUUUCACCUUCAGGGAGCCUAGGCUACAGAAUGAGAUGCACGUAAGAAGUCUGUGACCUGGACCAGAGCAGCCCAGCUGAACACAUGCUGGAUUGGAAGAACCACCUUUGACCUGAAGACCUCUUCAGGAGAGAUUUGAUGAAAAAAAUUAUAUUUUGGCAUCAUCUUGACUCUUGAACUUACUCCCAGAUCAGCUACAAAUUUGUCCUAUGGCCUGAGGCACUGAAAACACGACAGAGCUCUGCAAUAAUUUCCAGUCAGACCAGACAACCUAGUUAUUCCCUUUUCCCAGGUGUCCCGGUGACCUAUAUUAUUGUCAAC